UGUCUACUAGUUGUCGGGUCUUAAUUGACUUGGUAACGCAGCUAACGCGUGAAGUAGACCGCCUGGGGAGUACGGUCGCAAGAUUAAAACUCAAAGGAAUUGACGGGGACCCGCACAAGCGGUGGAUGAUGUGGAUUAAUUCGAUGCAACGCGAAAAACCUUACCUACCCUUGACAUGUACAGAAUCCCGAAGAGAUUUGGGAGUGUUCGAAAGAAAACUGUAACACAGGUGCUGCAUGGCUGUCGUCAGCUCGUGUCGUGAGAUGUUGGGUUAAGUCCCGCAACGAGCGCAACCCUUGUCAUUAGUUGCUACGAAAGGGCACUCUAAUGAGACUGCCGGUGACAAACCGGAGGAAGGUGGGGAUGACGUCAAGUCCUCAUGGCCCUUAUGGGUAGGGCUUCACACGUCAUACAAUGGUACAUACAGAGGGCCGCCAACCCGCGAGGGGGAGCUAAUCCCAGAAAGUGUAUCGUAGUCCGGAUUGUAGUCUGCAACUCGACUACAUGAAGUUGGAAUCGCUAGUAAUCGCGGAUCAGCAUGUCGCGGUGAAUACGUUCCCGGGUCU
rnacentral:rRNA from 1 species